CCUUGUACACACCGCCCGUCACACCAUGGGAGUUGGUUUUACCUGAAGACGGUGCGCUAACCGCAAGGAGGCAGCCGGCCACGGUAGGUCAGCGACGUGGGGUGAAGUCGUAACAACGGUACC
rnacentral:rRNA from 1 species